ensembl:lncRNA
CUGGGUUUAGGUCGGUGAGGAAGUAGUCUACAGUGCUGCUGCCAAGGGAUGAGCUGUAGGUGUACCUACCAAAAGAGUCCCCUCUCAGCCUACCAUUGACUCUGUACAGACCCAGUGUUCCACAGAGCUGUAGGUGUACCUACCAAAAGAGUCCCCUCUCAGCCUACCAUUGACUCUGUACAGACCCAGUGUUCCACAGAGCUGUAGGUGUACCUACCAAAAGAGUCCCCUCUCAGCCUACCAUUGACUCUGUACAGACCCAGUGUUCCACAGAGCUGUAGGUGUACCUACCAAAAGAGUCCCCUCUCAGCCUACCAUUGACUCUGUACAGACCCA